GUUCUCUCUGGCAGUACAUGUACUAAAAUUGGAAUGAUACAAAGAUCAGCAUGGCCCCUGUGCAAGGAUGACAUGCAAAUUUAUGAAAUGUUCCAUAUUUUU